CGGCCGCGUCGACGAAAUGCGUAGAGAUCAGGAAGAACAUCGGUGGCGAAGGCGCUCUGCUGGACCAUAACUGACACUCAGGGACGAAAGCUAGGGAGGCGAAUAGGGAGUUAGUAUACCCACGUAGUCCUACGCGUAACGAAUGAGUACUAGGUGUUGUCUGUAUCGACCCGGACCGAGUGCCGUACGCUAACGACGUUAAGUAAUCCCGCCCUGGGGAGGUACGCACGCAAGUGUGAAACUACAAGGAAUUGAC
rnacentral:rRNA from 1 species